rnacentral:rRNA from 1 species
UACAGGGGGCGCGAGCGUUGCUCGGAAUCACUGGGCGUAAAGCGUACGCAGGCGGGUCGAUAAGUCCGUUGUGAAAUCCCAGGGCUCAACUCUGGAACUGCGAUGGAGACUGUCGAUCUUGAGUACGGGAGAGGAGAGCGGAAUUCCUGGUGUAGAGGUGAAAUUCGUAGAUAUCAGGAGGAACACCGGUGGCGAAGGCGGCGCUCUGGAACAUUUCUGACGCUGAGGCUCGAAAGCGUGGGGAGCAAACAGG